rnacentral:tRNA from 1 species
AAGAUUUUAAGUUAAAUUAAACUAAUAACCUUCAAAGUUAUAAAUAGAGAAGCUUCUUUAAGUCUUA